UUGCUGGGUGGAUUAGUGGCGAACGGGUGAGUAACACGUGAGUAACCUGCCCUUGACUUCGGGAUAACUCCGGGAAACCGGGGCUAAUACCGGAUAUGAGCCGCCUUCGCAUGGGGGUGGUUGGAAAGUUUUUCGGUCAGGGAUGGGCUCGCGGCCUAUCAGCUUGUUGGUGGGGUGAUGGCCUACCAAGGCGACGACGGGUAGCCGGCCUGAGAGGGCGACCGGCCACACUGGGACUGAGACACGGCCCAGACUCCUACGGGAGGCAGCAGUGGGGAAUAUUGCACAAUGGGCGAAAGCCUGAUGCAGCGACGCCGCGUGAGGGAUGAAGGCCUUCGGGUUGUAAACCUCUUUCAGCAGGGAAGAAGCGCAAGUGACGGUACCUGCAGAAGAAGCGCCGGCUAACUACGUGCCAGCAGCCGCGGUAAUACGUAGGGCGCAAGCGUUGUCCGGAAUUAUUGGGCGUAAAGAGCUCGUAGGCGGUUUGUCGCGUCUGGUGUGAAAACUCGAGGCUCAACCUCGAGCUUGCAUCGGGUACGGGCAGACUAGAGUGCGGUAGGGGAGACUGGAAUUCCUGGUGUAGCGGUGGAAUGCGCAGAUAUCAGGAGGAACACCGAUGGCGAAGGCAGGUCUCUGGGCCGCAACUGACGCUGAGGAGCGAAAGCAUGGGGAGCGAACAGGAUUAGAUACCCUGGUAGUCCAUGCCGUAAACGUUGGGCACUAGGUGUGGGGCUCAUUCCACGAGUUCCGUGCCGCAGCAAACGCAUUAAGUGCCCCGCCUGGGGAGUACGGCCGCAAGGCUAAAACUCAAAGGAAUUGACGGGGGCCCGCACAAGCGGCGGAGCAUGCGGAUUAAUUCGAUGCAACGCGAAGAACCUUACCAAGGCUUGACAUGCACG
rnacentral:rRNA from 1 species